rnacentral:lncRNA from 1 species
GCAUUAAAGGCUUCACUCUCCUUCUUUUUCUCUCCUUUUUCACUAUGCCCUUACCCUAAGUUCCUCCCAUCGUCCUCUUACUCCACUUUUGCCGAUACUAGCAUACGACAUCCUUUUUUCUUGCUGUGGUUACUCCAUCACCACUGAAUUAGGUCGUCUCUUUAGUUUCCUAGACCCAAACUUACUAUAUGUAGCAGCCUCCUCUUAUGUACCACUUGAAGUAAUAGUAU